rnacentral:rRNA from 1 species
UGGACCUCAGAUCAGGCGAGAUCACCUGCUGAAUUUAAGCAUAUCAGUAAGCG